UACGAAGGGGGCUAGCGUUGUUCGGAAUUACUGGGCGUAAAGCGCACGUAGGCGGACAUUUAAGUCAGGGGUGAAAUCCCGGGGCUCAACCCCGGAACUGCCUUUGAUACUGGGUGUCUAGAGUAUGGAAGAGGUGAGUGGAAUUCCGAGUGUAGAGGUGAAAUUCGUAGAUAUUCGGAGGAACACCAGCGGCGAAGGCGGCUCACUGGUCCAUUACUGACGCUGAGGUGCGAAAGCGUGGGGAGCAAACAGG
rnacentral:rRNA from 1 species